rnacentral:rRNA from 1 species
UGGGGAAUAUUGCACAAUGGAGGGAACUCUGAUGCAGCGACGCCGCGUGAACGAAGAAGGCUUUCGAGUCGUAAAGUUCUUUUAUAUGGGAAGAUAGUGACGGUACCAUAAGAAAAAGCCCCGGCUAACUACGUGCCAGCAGCCGCGGUAAUACGUAGGGGGCUAGCGUUGUCCGGAAUCACUGGGCGUAAAGGGUUCGCAGGCGGAAAUGCAAGUCAGAUGUAAAAGGCAGUAGCUUAACUACUGUAAGCAUUUGAAACUGCAUAUCUUGAGAAGAGUAGAGGUAAGUGGAAUUUUUAGUGUAGCGGUGAAAUGCGUAGAUAUUAAAAAGAAUACCGGUGGCGAAGGCGACUUACUGGGCUCAUUCUGACGCUGAGGAACGAAAGCGUGGGUAGCAAACAGGAUUAGAUACCCUGGUAGUCCACGCUGUAAACGAUGAGUGCUAGGUGUCGGCGAAUGUCGGUGCCGCAGUUAACACAAUAAGCACUCCGCCUGGGGAGUACGUGUGCAAGCAUG